rnacentral:rRNA from 1 species
AGUUUGAUUCAUGGCUCAGGACGAACGCUGGCGGCGUGCUUAACACAUGCAAGUCGAACGAUGAAGCCUUUCGGGGUGGAUUAGUGGCGAACGGGUGAGUAACACGUGGGCAAUCUGCCCUUCACUCUGGGACAAGCCCUGGAAACGGGGUCUAAUACCGGAUAACACUCUGUCCCGCAUGGGACGGGGUUAAAAGCUCCGGCGGUGAAGGAUGAGCCCGCGGCCUAUCAGCUUGUUGGUGGGGUGAUGGCCUACCAAGGCGACGACGGGUAGCCGGCCUGAGAGGGCGACCGGCCACACUGGGACUGAGACACGGCCCAGACUCCUACGGGAGGCAGCAGUGGGGAAUAUUGCACAAUGGGCGAAAGCCUGAUGCAGCGACGCCGCGUGAGGGAUGACGGCCUUCGGGUUGUAAACCUCUUUCAGCAGGGAAGAAGCGAAAGUGACGGUACCUGCAGAAGAAGCGCCGGCUAACUACGUGCCAGCAGCCGCGGUAAUACGUAGGGCGCAAGCGUUGUCCGGAAUUAUUGGGCGUAAAGAGCUCGUAGGCGGCUUGUCACGUCGGAUGUGAAAGCCCGGGGCUUAACCCCGGGUCUGCAUUCGAUACGGGCUAGCUAGAGUGUGGUAGGGGAGAUCGGAAUUCCUGGUGUAGCGGUGAAAUGCGCAGAUAUCAGGAGGAACACCGGUGGCGAAGGCGGAUCUCUGGGCCAUUACUGACGCUGAGGAGCGAAAGCGUGGGGAGCGAACAGGAUUAGAUACCCUGGUAGUCCACGCCGUAAACGUUGGGAACUAGGUGUUGGCGACAUUCCACGUCGUCGGUGCCGCAGCUAACGCAUUAAGUCCCCGC